rnacentral:rRNA from 1 species
AAGUWGAGUUGAAGCUUUAUCUCACGCGCAUUCUCUCACUCUUGAGGAAUAAGCAUCGGCUAACUCCGUGCCCAGCAGCCGCGGUUAAUACGGGGGAUGCAAGCGUUAUCCGGGAAUCAUUGGGCGUAAAGCGCCUGUAGGUUGUUUACUAAGUCUGUUGUUAAAGAYUAGGGCUUAACCCUAGAAAAGCAAUGGAAACUUGUAGACUAGAGUAUGGCAGGGGUAGAGGGAAUUUCUAGUGUAGCGGUGAAAUGCGUAGAUAUUAGAAAGAACACCAGUGGCGAAAGCGCUCUACUGGACCAUUACUGACACUCAGAGGCGAAAGCUAGGGUAGCAAAAGGGAUUAGAUACCCCUGUAGUCCUAGCCGUAAACGAUGGAUACUAGAUGUUGUGCUUUUGUACAGUAUCCUAGCUAACGCGUUAAGUAUCCCGCCUGGGGAGUACGCUCGCAAGGGUGAAACUCAAAGGAAUUGACGGGGGCCCGCACAAGCGGUGGAGCAUGUGGUUUAAUUCGAUGCAACGCGAAGAACCUUACCAGGACUUGACAUACUACGAAUUCUUUUGAGAAAAAGAAGUGCCUUCGGGAAUGUAGAUACAGGUGGUGCAUGGCUGUCGUCAGCUCGUGUCGUGAGAUGUUGGGUUAAGUCCCGCAACGAGCGCAACCCUUAUUUUUAGUUACUAAUUCGUUAGGUUCUCUAGAAAGACUGCCGGUGACAAACCGGAGGAAGGUGAGGAUGACGUCAAGUCAGCAUGCCCCUUAUGUCCUGGGCCACACACGUGCUACAAUGACAAAGACAAAGAGUUGCAAGUUCGCGAGGAUAAGCUAAUCUCAUAAACUUUGUCCCAGUUCGGAUUGUAGGCUGCAACUCGCCUNCWUGAAGA